UGUGUGGUGAAAAUACGCUGUGUUUCAACAUUUCUGGAGGUUAUCAGUGUCGAUGUGAGGAGGGAUAUCAAGGGAACGCCACGGAUGGUGGGAAUUGCUCAGACAUAGACGAGUGUACUGAUGGGAAGUCAGUUUGUGCUAACAACACAGUUUGUUUCAACUUACCGGGUAGUUACGACUGUCGUUGUCAGGAAGGAUACCAGCGAAACAAUUCCGAGCGUGGAGACUGUAUAGAUACUGACGAAUGUACAACGGGUCGGACGACAUGUGGUGAUAACACGGAGUGUGUCAACUUGCUGGGGGGAUACGAAUGUCGGUGUCGAGAGGGAUACCAUGGAAACCUUACCAAC